ensembl:rRNA 5S_rRNA 5S ribosomal RNA
GUCUACAGGUAUGCCACCCUGAAUGUGCCCAAUCUCAUCUGAUCUCAGAAGCUAAGCAGAGUCGGGCCUGAUUAGUACUUGGAUGGGAGACCACCUAGGAAUUCUAGGUGCUGUAGGCG